rnacentral:rRNA from 1 species
CACCGGCGGCUCGAGUGGUAACCGCUAUUAUUGGGUCUAAAGGGUCUGUAGCCGGCCUGGUUAGUCCCUUGGGAAAUCUGGCUGCUCAACAGUCAGGCUUUCAGGGGAUACUGCUAGGCUCGAGACCGGGAGAGGUGAGAGGUACUUCAGGGGUAGGGGUGAAAUCUUGUAAUCCUUGAAGGACCACCAGUGGCGAAGGCGUCUCACCAGAACGGAUCUGACGGCAAGGGACGAAAGCUAGGGGCACGAA